AAUAUUUGACAAUGGGCGGAAGCCUGGUCCAGCCAUGCCGCGUGUGUGAAGAAGGUCUUCGGAUUNUAAAGCACUUUAAUUUGGGANGAAGGGCAGUUAACGAAUACUUAACUGUUUUGACGUUACCACAAGAAUAAGCACCGUCUAACUUCGGGCCAGGAGCCGCGGUAAUAAGAAGGGUGUAAGCGUUAAUCGGAAUUACUGGGCGUAAAGCGCGCGUAGGUGGUUCGUUAAGUUGGAAGUGAAAGCCCCGGGCUAAACCUGGGAAUUGCUUUCAAAACUGGCGAGCUAGAGUACGGUAGAGGGUGGUGGAAUUUCCUGUGUAGCGGUGAAAUGCGUAGAUAUAGGAAGGAACAUCAGUGGCGAAGGCGACCACCUGGACUGAUACUGACACUGAGGUGCGAAAGCGUGGGUAGCAAACAGG
rnacentral:rRNA from 1 species